CAGUUAUACUCCAACACUGAACAAUAAACUCUCAGUCUGUUUGAUGGUCAUCAUGUUUCAUCCAAACCAAGCAGCUCUGCUCUCUUUAUUAUUUAUGCACGGGGUCUUUGCAGCAGAUCAAGAAGGCAACCACAAGAAUGAAGAGGUGUCCAGAGGAGGCUCUGUCAUUUUUACUUGCAACACAUCAAGAGAAAAUACAAAACAAAUCAACUGGAGCAAAGGCAGAUUUUCUUUUUCUCAUUUAAUGAAAGGAAAUGUGACUGUUUCAAAUUUCCCCUCUGACAGACUGACAAUAGAUCUAUCCUCAAAGCUGAUUAUUUCUAAUGCUCAGGAAGAUGAUGAAGGACUAUAUACAUGUAAUUUAACUGAAUCUUCAGGUUCAACGACUUAUCGGUGGAAUUUAACCGUGUCUGACAAACCUGAAGAGGAGAAGUCAUCGGGGUAUUUCCUAUACAUACUCACAGCUGGGAUCGGAGUGGUACUGUGUUGCAUCAUUUCAGCCACAUGCCUCUGUAGGAAAUGUAAGGCCAAGACAGCAGACCAGAACCCAGUCCAGGACCAGUUUCACCAGCAGUCAGCUGGAGAGGUC